GAUGAACGCUGGCGGCGUGCCUAAUACAUGCAAGUCGAGCGGACAGACGAGGAGCUUGCGCCGCUGACGUUAGCGGCGGACGGGUGAGUAACACGUGGAUAACCUCCCUAUAAGACGGGGAUAACUUCGGGAAACCGGAGCUAAUACGGGAUAAGCUGGUGAACCGCAUGGGUCAACAGUGAAUGACGGUGGUGCUGUCACUUAUAGAUGGAUCCGCGCCGCAUUAGGUAGUUGGUAAGGUAAAGGCUUACCAAGGCGAGGAGGCGUAGCCGAGCUGAGAGGGUGAUAGGCCACACUGGAACUGAGCCACGGUCCAGAGUCCUAAGGGAGGCAGCAGUAGGGAAUCUUCCGCAAUGGGCGAAAGCAUGACGGAGCAACGCCGCGUGAGUGAAGAAGGUCUUCGGAUCGUAAAACUCUGUUAUUAGGGAAGAACAAAUGUGUAAGUAACUAUGCACGUCUUGACGGUACCUAAUCAGAAAGCAACGGCUAACUACGUG
rnacentral:rRNA from 1 species